CGGUGCGAGGCCGCCCCCGGUGCCGGGGCUGCAGGAGCGGAGCCCCCCCCCUCAGGCCCCCCCCUCCCCUCCCGGCAGGGGGAGGCGGUGCCAGCGGAGCACAAUGCCCGGGCGAUGACAUCACCCCUCUCCCCCAUUGGCCGAAGCCGGCCCGCAGCGCAGGCUUCUGGGAGUUGUAGUCACCCUCGCUAUUCCCUCCUAUAGGGAGGGGGUGAAGGCGGACUCGCUUUCCCGGCAGGCCCCGCGCCGCGCAGCCCCAUGGAGGAGGAGGAGGGGGGCGGUGGCGGGCGCCAUGUUGGUGGCGUGAGGGUGGUGGCGGUGCGGGAGGGGAGCCGGGCUAAGAUGUCGGAAAAGGGGGGCGGAGGGGGGGCGCUGGGUGCCUCCUGAGCAGGGGGAGGCUCCGCGAGCCCUCGGCGGCGGGGCCCUGAGGAGCGACGCCCGCUGAGGGCUUAAGGAGCUGACCGGUUCCAGGUGCUGUCUUGGGUUCAGCAUACUCGCUGCCUGGCUUGAGGAUGCCAGCUAGAUUUUUUUUAAUGGCUGUAGAAUUUCCUGUACUGACAAUAAGCUCUGCUUGUGCUGUUCUUUGUGAGAGAAUAGAAAAUUAGCCAUUUAUCAAAUGAGAAGCUCAUCUCUGGUAAGGGGACUGGAGUUCUCUUGUUAUUGCUGAAAUAUUUUUUCUCUAAACUGGGAGGAAAGGCAAUGAUGUAUUCUAUGGUUUGUGAAAUUAUAUGGUUUUUAAUUACAGCUCAUUCCUGUGAAAUAAAGUUCUUUAUUACUUCAAGAGGACACUCCAUUGAAAGGAGUUGAAGAGUUUUGUAGGCUCCCUGCAAGUGUGAGCCUAAGUCGAAUAAUGGUGUAGGUCAGGAAAAAGGAUUUAAAAGGUUUUAUUUCUAAAAUACUUUGGCUCCUCCUGGAGGUAAGUACAAUGCGUUUGCUCAGGGUAAUACCUCACAGUAACUACGCAGGUAUGGAAGUUGUUUGCCCAAGGGUACAUCCAGAUGGUGGAGGAAGGGUGUCAUGAGAUAUAAUUCCUAACCACAUCAUUAAACCUAAAUGUUGGAGUCUUUCAGGAUUUGUUGAUACUACAGCAAUGCGUGCCAUUCUUCCAUCUCUUUAAAUCCAGAUCCAUCUAGUUAAAGAAUCUGAACUAAUUCCUAGCUUUUCCCAUCCUCUUGCAAAAGACCAGGUGUCUUUGGAGGUGCGCCUUACAUAGUUCUCCCUACCCCAGUUUAUCCCUUUUGCCAUCUUCAUCACUGAAGGAAAGGAGAAUAUAAUGCUCUGUUGGCGCUAUAACUUUCAGUAGUAGUUGUAAACAUCUGAAGAAUCCUGAAUUACAGGCAUCCCCGCCUUUGUCUUCUUUCUCUGUGCCGCUGUGGCAGUUGUGCCAUGGAAAAAAAAAGGCAGUGGCAUGAUGAUAUGUUACAACGGUUGCUCUCUUUAAACUUCAACCCUGUGCUUAUAUCUGUGUAGCUGAUGCCAAAUAAUAAUGGUAAGUAUUGCAAUGUCUUCUCUAUAACCGGCAGAAAACAUGGAUGUGAAAUCCUCAUCCAAGGUUCAAAUAUAUACUUUUAAACUGGUUUAGAAACAAUUCCACUGGCAUUGGCCCUUCUCUUUCUGUCCUUCCUCUCUGAUCCAAUGCUGCUGCUCAGGGCAGAAAGCAAGGAUGCAUCCUGCUUUACAAGUAAAAUUACUUCACUAUUUUACUAUUCUUCGUUAUCUGAAGGUGCUGCAGAUGUCUCAGCUAAGAGUUGCUUUAGGAGAUUGAAAUGUAGAAAUAAAGAAUUAAUGUAAGAAAGUACCCAGAUGAAUACAUGAUGCAGCAGACAAGUAAAAUACUCCUGUGUUGUAUGGUUUACUUUCAUGAUUCUGGGGUGGUCUAAUAUUUGUCACCAUGAAUUUUACUGAUCACAACUUGCAAGAGUUUUUAAUUGUAAAACCUUUGUUGUCUCAAAUUUAGAUACUUUUUGUACAGUGUUUGUUUGAAAAUGAUCGUGUCUGCUUACCUUCUGACUUAACAGGUCCUAAUUGCAAGAUCUGCAACAAGCUUAUAACCCUUAUAGCCACGCUGUGGAAAUAAGUGUUGUCGCUGUUGUCACAGUGUUUCACACAAGAAGACUUAAGGUGACAAUAGAAUCAAAUGCCUGCCUUUGCCAUUUCUAGAAUGCAUGGGUAUACUCUGGUUUAAUAGUUUAUGAAAGCUUGUUCAAGUCUCUGAAAGGUGCCGAGCCUGCUAAGCUGCCAUGGUUGUUUAUACUUCAGUUAUUUUGUCAAAAUUCUACACGAUAGGAGCUACAACUCCCAUGUUAGAAAAAUGAUUUUGGUCACAGUAAACUCAGGUAAGCAACUACUCAGUGCCCUGAAAUAGGGAGAAGCAGUUGGAAGUCCCAGAAGAUGGGUAAAGAAGACAAGGAUAAGUAGGAAUGUGUGAUGCCUGUUCGCUGUUUUUCUUAAAGAAGAAAUUAAUGCAUUUUCAUACAUGGAAACUUCCUAUCUCAGCUUUCAUUCUGAAAGGUUCUUUCUCUUCCUUAAAACCUAAAGGAUUUGCAUGCUAUAAAUUCAACCUUCCCUGGAUAGUAUGCAAAAACGGGUCUACAGUCUGUAUGAGAAAUACACAGGUCUACAAGAUGAAGCGUGAAGUUGGUCCUAUAUAACUUCAGCCAUCAAACCUGCUGGGUGGAAACAUUUUCAUGUGCACUCAAACAGGAAGUGGAGGAUGGUUUCUAAAGGUAACUGAUAAAAUCUGUACUAGUCUUGGCACUUAAAAAAAAAAAAAAUCAAUUCUCUUACUAUCCCAGCUACAAAACUUAGUUGUCCACAGUUCCCCUGGGGAAAGGGGUUAAGCUGAAGAGUCACAGCCAGAUUACUUGCUUUAGAGCUUAUGAGGAAAGGGGGGUAAAGACUUUCAAAUUACUGCUCUGAUUUUGGGGUUUAAGCAGUUGCUGUGAGCUUUCUUGUUUGUAAUGAUCUCCAACAGAGCUGCAUCCUGAAGAGUUUACAGCUGCAGGGUGAGAGAGUGGAUUGAGCUGGGCAUAGCAGGUAAAAACUAUAUGGUGUUACUGUUCUCAAGAAUCUUAAUGGUAAUUCAGGAAAAUAAUCUUAAAUACAUUAUUUAUUCUACUUUGUUCUUAAACAGAACUUGAAAAGGCACAGGUAAGAGCAGAAGGAUUCUGUACCUCAAGUGUUCAUAAAUUAUGGGGACACAGUUAAAUAUCCAGGAGACCCUAGAAUUCCUGCAUUAACUUUUUUUUAUUUUUCAGUGCAAGAAGAGUGCUUUGAGAGCAGUUGAGAACCUCUUCAGGUGUCCUAAGCAUGUUCUCCAACUGAAACGUGGCAGCAGUUCAAUAGCAGUUACACAACAGAAGGGGGUUUGCACAGUACUGCAAGUCCUGGAUUCAUAGGAACUGGUUUUAGUAGAGAGAAGACCUCAGGUUUCUCCAGAACUUUUAACUCCUGUGAAUGUAAAUGAGGACUCAUCCGCAGUACUGAAGAGGAAACUUACUCCUACUGUUGACACUGGACAGGAGGAUUAGGAUAGGGGACUUACUUCAUUCUAGGCAGAGCACUGCCUUUGAAAAACUGCAGGCAGUCCUAAGUACAGGAGAUUCCAGUUGUGGGAAAAUCCCCCUUGGGAGGGCACACUAACAACGGGGAGAACUUGGUAAACAAGGGAAACACAAGUUAAGCAUGCUGCUUCUCAGCUAAGUGCAGGCAUUUCUCUUCAGGUGACAUGACUUAAGGUGUCCUUUGAAGACCACAGAGUUACUGCCAGACCACAUUCCCAUUUCUCUUAAGAACUUAAAUGCAGUUGCACAGUCCAGGACCACCCAAGUAGUUUUAGUCUCGGUCAAGUGAGAGAAUACUUACUGAUUUAAAAAUAAGAGUACUUUUUGGUCCCCUUGAGUCCUGCAGAGCUAUUGGAGCGGUGCACUGAAGGUAAGCUUUCCCCACCCACAUGUUGCAAGAGACUGGCACACAGAUCACUUGGGGGUCCAGGGCUGAGCAUAAAGCCUUUGGCUGGCUGUGAUCUAGCCGUCAUGUACCCAAUAAGCACACCUCAGCAAUUCCACGUGGAACGAGAAAGUUAACACUGGGGCUGCACUGGUUCAGAUGUGCUCUGUGUGCGCACUGUGCUCAUUGGCACAACACUUGAUUUCAUACUGUGUUGCAUAAAGCACGCAGGGUAUCAUGCUGAGGUUACACUGAGUACAGACCCUGCUCUCAUGCCAGUAAUCCUGGGAAGGUCUAUUUUUGUUGUGUAGUGGUAAACCUGGGUUUGUAAAUGAUACUGGCUCACUCAGGUGCCAGUGUGCCUGUCCAUGCCAGAGCAGUACUCCAUGAGCUGGCAAAUCCUUAAGCAUGGUACUAGUUUUCAGUUAUUUAAAAAAAAAUAAAAGGGAGGGGAGGUAUGAGGGGGUUAGGCAGGGAUUUUUUUUUCUGAUGGGUGACACCAAAUUUAAAAGCUGACUAAAAAUAUCUCUUUGGGAAAGUACAUUUUAGGAAAAUAUAAAUGCUGUGAUUAGGGUAAUGUGACCCACCGGUUAUGGCCAUUGUCCAGCACGGUUCCUCAUCCCUGGUUGUGUAUAGUUUUUUGUUUUGUUUUGUGGUUUACGUGAAAAAGCACGUUGGACAUAGGGAGACUGUGAAAACUAUAACCAUAGGUAAAAAUGUCACAGCUGCUUUUUUGUUAAAUCACACACCAUUUAUUUUCUAAGAAAGUCCUGCAACUAAAUUGCUGGAGUCCCAGGUUAUGCGUGUGUUCCCACUUCUCUGGCUACUUAGGUGCAAUGGCACAAAAUUACUCCUUGCUUUCUACACAAUUCAGUUUAAAAUACAAGUCUUUCCAGUGUGAGUACUGUGCAGCAGUAUCAUUGGAGCAUUCCUUAACAUGCACAAGCCGUUUCCAUGUCGGUAUGUAACACUGCAGUGUGAAAAAGCACCCAGCUGCAGGGAUGGUGCCAUUUGAUAGUGUCUCCUGUGCUGGAAUUCCCUGGUUUUACUCCCCUUGCCUUGGACUCUGGUGACUGGUGUUUUUCUGAACUUUUUCUGUGUGUUCUCACUCUAUCAUGUACCUGAUUAUUUUUUGUUUGUUUUUGCCAUUUCUCUGCAAAUACCUUUUCAUGGAAAACGGGGAACAACAGUAAGUACCUAGGUUCCUGGCCAAGUUUCCAUUUGCAUGGUUUCACUUGCUCCAUUCUGUCAAGUUACAUGCAGUGUCCGAAGGAUAUAAUUUAGUGGACUGCUGGUAAGAAGCUAACCUUUACAUCUUGGCCCCAGCCCACGUAGGUCAGGUUUAUACAAGCCUGCUUCCUUAGGAUGAAUCCAGUGGCUAGUCUUUUACAGCCUUUGGUUUUCUGUUGCACUGCUUUAUGACAAAAUAAUGUUAUGCUGCUCUUGCAGACCCUUAAAAAGGGGUAAUGUAGGGGGUGAUUGCAUUAUACCUGCUGAGUUGCACAGCCCAGAAUCUUCUGAGCAUUGCUCUUCUAUUUACACAAGACCUCGGGCUCUCAAGUGUCCUAACUGCUCAGGUUCUGGGUUCAUCUGUACCAGGGUGGCUUUGUAUCCAGCAGAGCCUUUUGGGGCAUGCAUUCCCAGAAGGUCCACAACCCGAGCUUUGCAUUCUCAGAAAAUGUAGCUGUGUGAUGUGGGCUUGGUGGCACGGCUCAUUUAAGGUGCUUGCUGUUAUCUUUUGCCCCUUGCACUCCUGUUCCACAGUACACGGUUCCCUGGCAUGCCAACGCUGCCAUCUGCAGCGGCACAGAGAUUAGUCAGGAUGUUAUGUGCCCUGCCCUGUGUGCUUUUCUUUGGCCUGGAGUGGAAGCAGGAGGGGUUUGUAGUUCUGUGGCUCUUUUUUAAACCUGGAUCAGGUCAGUGAGGUGGUUGAGAGCAUUUCAAACACGGCAGUAAAAAUCAGCGAUCAGGUGCACAGCAGAAGUUGGCCUUUGGGCUGGUUGCUGAAGCUUCUAUCUCAUUAAACCAUGUACCUAAAGAUGCAGUUCAUUUUGUAGGGGAGGAGCAGCACCGUGUCCCUUGUGUAUGAUUGCUAUUGUUAACUGUGUUUUUUCUGCUUUAGGUCCCUGAUACAGGACGCAGCCAAAUGUUUGCUGCAUGUAGCCUUCUGACUAGGGAGUGGCAGCUUGAGAAACCCCGAUGCCUGUAAGCGUAGGGGGAGAAGAGAUUUAGAGAUGUGGAGGAGUUUUCCCAAAGUGUUGCCUUUUAUAACUGCUACGGAGAGUACUAACUUCUUACCUUAAAAUGUAAGUAUCUCUCACGGUUAAGGAGUUCUGUCGCCCCUGCACACCUAGCCAAAUACACCUCUUAUAUUUAAUGACAGAGUAGAUCUACACAAAGAAUUAAGUACUGAAAUGAUUCACGUGAUAGAUGUUUUUCAUGUCAAUAUUUUCCAGUGGUCCUGAUAAAAGUGAAUCAGUUUCAUUACAGUGGACGUCUUUACUAUGUAAAUACGAUUUACUGCCUCCACUCUGGUAAUGGUGAAUCUUAUCCUCUGGUGAGCCUGUCUCUCAAAGCGAGCCUGGUGAGGAUGACGCAGUGGCAGCCAUUUCAGAAUGAAAUGUGCAGUGGUUUUACUGUUAUGGUUCUGCUUUAGUCAAUGUCAGCUAUAAUAGUAAUUGCAUCCCUAAAGAGAUUAUUGCUGCUGUUAAACUUUCUGGAAAAACAAAUAGGUAGAGGCAGAUGCAGUCCUCAUGUGAAUUGGCCGGAGGGUGUUGCACAGCCAAGUGGGUACUGCAUCUCGUGUGAGAUGAAGGACAUCGGUGCUUUAUGAGUCUGUGGCAGUGAAGUCCAUUGACCUCCCUGCAAAUUCCUGCCUGCUGAAAGCUACUCUUGCCUCUUGGUUUUGUGAGUGGAGCAACUACUGGCCUAAUGCUUCCCGCUGGAAACAAGCAGGUAAGGAAAGGGAGUUGAUUUAGUGGGUACCCUGAACCAAUGAAAAUGAAUUAUUUUGUUUACUCUUAAUUUAUAAAUAUUACUCACAUAUUUAUAAACCAAUGCAUCAUAUUGUAAAUAUUCAUAAAUGUGGACAUAAUAUAUGUGUAUAUAUUUGUAUAAUAUGUAUCACCCAUAUUUAUAGGUAUAUAAGAUUGCAGUUUAUACGUAUAUAAAUCAAUAAGCCAGGGGAAUCAAGGAAAAAUAGAGAAGUGUGUUGCCAACGGGAUCCUGGGAUGGAGCAGCUGUUCCUGUUGAGAACAAGUCAAAGGUGACAGUCUGGUCCCAGGUAAGUAUGGCUUGUGCAAAUUUUCUUGUUUUGUUAAAAUUUCUAAUUAUUUCUCUCUUUCCAGCUCUCAUCCUUCAGCAGGUUCUUUGGCUGUGGGUUAACCUUGUCAGGAAUAUCAAGGCAUGUGACAUGCUUGGCCACAGAAGUCGGUACGUGUGGGGUCUCUCACAAGUUCCUGUCAACACUUCAGCAGUGCAGCUCUCCAGAAUGGAUAACGUUGCUGCCAUUCAUUCUGAGUGGCAUCAUGGUCUCCUUUACAUGGGUUUUACACUAUCUCAGUUAUCUCAACCUUUUGCUACAGUCAGUUUUUCAUUAUCUGAAGGUAAAUUUAGGUACAAGUCAUGACAGGCAAGGUCCUGGCUUGGAAUAUGCCUGCCUUCCUGUAGCACUCAGUCACACUCUGGUAUGGGUGGAUUUUCCUCUUAGGUACAGUCAAUUUGCCAGUCUUAUUCCUCCCAAAGCCAUUAUGCAGCUGAAUUUUCUAUCUUUUCCAGUUCUUUAUCUGCACAGCUUCCAGGUAAUGUGUACCUUUGGGGCACAGUGGGAUGGCUACCCCGGGCUUCCCCAAAAUUACUGCUCAGCAGUCAGGCAGUGAUAUAAAUACAAGAUGUUAUUUUGCUCGUGCCCACCAA